GACGAACGCUGGCGGCGUGCCUAAUACAUGCAAGUAGAACGCUGAAGGAGGAGCUUGCUUCUCUGGAUGAGUUGCGAACGGGUGAGUAACGCGUAGGUAACCUGCCUGGUAGCGGGGGAUAACUAUUGGAAACGAUAGCUAAUACCGCAUAAGAGUAGAUGUUGCAUGACAUUUGCUUAAGAGGUGCAAUUGCAUCACUACCAGAUGGACCUGCGUUGUAUUAGCUAGUUGGUGGGGUAACGGCUUACCAAGGCGACGAUACAUAGCCGACCUGAGAGGGUGAUCGGCCACACUGGGACUGAGACACGGCCCAGACUCCUACGGGAGGCAGCAGUAGGGAAUCUUCGGCAAUGGACGGAAGUCUGACCGAGCAACGCCGCGUGAGUGAAGAAGGUUUUCGGAUCGUAAAGCUCUGUUGUAAGAGAAGAACGAGUGUGAGAGUGGAAAGUCCACACUGUGACGGUAUCUUACCAGAAAGGGACGGCUAACUACGUG
rnacentral:rRNA from 1 species